GAUGAACGCUGGCGGCGUGCCUAAUACAUGCAAGUCGAGCGAACAGAUGAGGAGCUUGCUCCUCUGACGUUAGCGGCGGACGGGUGAGUAACACGUGGAUAACCUACCUAUAAGACUGGGAUAACUUCGGGAAACCGGAGCUAAUACCGGAUAAUAUAUUGAACCGCAUGGUUCAAUAGUGAAAGUCGGUUUUGCUGUCACUUAUAGAUGGAUCCGCGCCGCAUUAGCUAGUUGGUAAGGUAACGGCUUACCAAGGCAACGAUGCGUAGCCGACCUGAGAGGGUGAUCGGCCACACUGGAACUGAGACACGGUCCAGACUCCUACGGGAGGCAGCAGUAGGGAAUCUUCCGCAAUGGGCGAAAGCCUGACGGAGCAACGCCGCGUGAGUGAUGAAGGUCUUCGGAUCGUAAAACUCUGUUAUUAGGGAAGAACAAAUGUGUAAGUAACUAUGCACGUCUUGACGGUACCUAAUCAGAAAGCCACGGCUAACUACGUG
rnacentral:rRNA from 1 species